UCGGUCAGCAACAACAUCACCUCGGUGUUGAACUUCCUAGCCUUCCUCUGCUCUAUUCCCAUCACCGGUGCCGGAAUCUGGCUCGCUUCGAAGCAGGACAGCGAGUGCAUCCGGAUGGUGCGGUGGCCGAUCAUAAUCAUCGGCGUCCUCAUCCUCCUCGUCUCCCUCGCCGGUUUCGUCGGAGCCUACUGGAACCGCGAGGGCCUCCUCGCAGCCUAUCUCGUCUGCAUGGCCAUCCUCAUCGUCAUCCUCCUCGCUCUUCUAGUCUUUGCUUUCGUCGUCACCCGUCCCGACGGCUCCAUCGACGUCCCCGGCCGGACGUACCAUGAGUACCGUCUCGCCGGGUUCUCAGCCUGGCUUCGCCACUAUGUGUCAG
rnacentral:misc_RNA from 1 species